rnacentral:lncRNA from 1 species
AAAUAUUCAAAUAAUACAACAAUAUAUAUGUAAAAAAUACACUAGUGAUACCAAUUGAUUCAGCUAAGCAUAUUGUCUUAAUUAAUAACUAAAUGAACAUACUAUACCGAUUUGAUUUACAUUCACAUUUCUUUCACUUUUAUGCAUUCAAUAAAGUUUACAUAUCAUGUCCAAACUGAAAACAAUUCAAACAUUGUCUUUAAAUUAGCUUAAUUAACCUUUAAAUUAUGUUUUGUCGUAAUAUAGAUGUACGGGCCUAAAUUUGCCCGAUGCCCAUGACUCAACCAAAAACAAAAAUAAAUAAAAACCAAAUUUUCAAACCAAAAUAAACAGCCCAAUAAAAAACCCCAAACUCAAAUUUUAGCCCAAACCUUAAAACCACAAUCAGCCCAAUAACAAAUACAACCCAAACUAUCAAUCUAAUGCAAAAAAAUAUCAGCAGAACCCUAGGAACGUUCAGCCACUGCCCCGUGCCUUUUCGUCAUCAGUCGCCCUCCACGCGUCGUCUGACAUCUGAAACAAGCACAAUAGCAGAGAAAGAAGCAUGCGAGCGUAGAGAAAUAAAGAGCAAAAAACAAAAAAACUAAAAGGGUAACUAAUCAAAAAAACAGAAUACUCGUUUUAAAGGUGAUUUUUUUAUUUUGUGUGAAAAUUUCUGUCUCUUUAUCUUGUUUUUACUUUUGUUUCUCUUAGUUAUUUUAUUUUAUUUUAUUUCACUUACGAAAAUAAAAGGGAAAUAAAACUUACCGGAAAACCCCCAUGGUCGGUCGUCGGAGACUUCUUUCUCCAUCGGAGUUGAGCCCAAAAGGGGAGGUUGGGAAGUCCCUUUAUUUUCGGGCACUCGACCGAGGGAUUUGGGACCUUCAAAGGCACCACGAACAGAGGCUAGGUAGCCUAUUUCGCUUGUCGUCAGCCACUGAUUGUAAUGGUGGUGUGACAAACCACCGAGGGCGGCGAUGAGGGGUUCAGGACCCUAGCCGAGCUGAAGAGAAAAGGGGGUAGGGAGGCUGAGUUCUUUUAAAAAAUAAGCAGCAGAAAUCUGCCUACAAAAGGAAGAAACCCUUUUGUUUUCUUUAAAAGGUGAAACGACGCAGUGUAAAAGGGGGGGUCAUUUUCAAAGCCCGAAUGGGCUAUUUGCUACUCAGGUCCCUCUGUUGUCUUGCGUGUUUCAAUCAUCCAUUUUGCAUUUUUCUACAUUUAAAAUUAUCCCCGCAAGUAUCGUAUUCGCUAUUAUUCAAAAAUAAAAAUUUUAAAAUAAGGCAAUGUUUCGCGUUUUGGAACAUCGAGAGGUUGUGCCCUAACUUACGGGGUUUCGAUUUUCUUGUUGGUUCUAAAUAGCCAAAUAUCCUUUCGAGUUUUAAACACGGAAUUCUAAUUAAAAUUAAAGAUAAACUUGCACUCGGGAGUUCAUGGUAUUGUGUCCUAACUUACGGGAUGUGAUACUCCUAUAUCUCGAGACGAGGAAAUCUUUAAUAAUCGUUUUGAGCUAACUCAAGCAUUUUUAAAAUCGACGUUAAUAAAAAGAAUCGUAUUUUAAAUCCAUCCUCGAUUUUUAACUAUCGACAUUAAGACACUAACUAAUCAAUUUAGUACCAAUUUUGGGCGUGACUAGGGUGCUAAUCCUUCCUCGCACGUAACCGACUCUCGAACCCAUUCUCUCGAGUUUCGUAGACCAAAAACAUCGUUUUAGUAAACUAAAAUGUUUUAUUAGAACAAAGGUGAUCCGAUCACACCUAAUAAAGGUCGGUGGCGACUCUCGUUUUAAUUUUCGUUUUCAAAACCAAAGUCAACCUCUUUUCAAAAAUUGGUUUCGACAGCUUGGCGACUCCGUUGGGGAUUUCGAGAGUCAAGCCUUAAAUUGAUUUUUUUUGUCUUUUGUCAAAAAUUUAAACUCAGUUUUAAAUCUACUGCAUUGCAUGUUGUCUGGUAUUUUCGUAGCUUUCUUCAUAAUAUGCUUGUUUUAAGUGGUUUAAUUCUUUGAUGUAUCUUUGCAUAUCGCAUCGCAUUAUUGGUCAAUUUCACCCUCUUAAGUGGAAGUGAAAAACUACUCCUUCGUGAGGUCUUCACCUCUGUAUAGGAUAGUGGAUCGCUUUCGGGAUACAUCCGUACCUGCGUCUUCGUGAGGUUUUCAUCUCUGUAGAGCCGUAGGGAAAUGUAUUCCCCUGAAUCGAACUCGAUCCGUAUGAACCUAUAAUGGGUGAGGAUCAAGGAAUCUGCCGGUUCAAGUACCUUUGCUUUAGAACCGAACCACAUGUAAUGAGCCCUAGGAGCCUACCCUAGGUAGAACCACACCGAACCCUAGUGGUUACCCGACUAGGUGCUGAUUUAUUCCUUAUUUGCUUUGAAUGCUAUUCUUUGUAUAUAAUACUGACUUGUUGUGUUUUGUUGUUUUCACAUGGCAUCUCAUCAUAAAAGGGUGUUGAUUCAUGUUCGGUUACUAGAUAGGAGAGUUUUAGCAUGGAAAAAGGAUUUCUUGAUAGAGUGGAGGAUAAUGCGGCCGUCCGAGAGAACGCAACAAGAGAAAUGAGAUAGUUUGACCGAGGGAUAUGAAUCGGAGUUGUGGGAUUUCACUCGCAUCAGUGUGACUCAAAAUGACCUACAAGAGUUAAGGGAUAUAUGGAAUAGUUGGAAUGGCGAAGUCAUGCAACUCUUUUACUGUAACUACGGAGAUUUACGCUAUUUGCUCGAUGUAAAGGUGGACAAGUACUUGUUCCGGGCUCUCGCGCAGUUUUGGAACCCUGCUUACAGUUGCUUCACCUUUGGAGGAGUUGAUUUAGUGCCUACUGUGGAAGAAUACAUGGCAUUACUUAAUUGCCCAAAAAUUUAGGCUGAUAGGGCCUAUUCGAGACCUGUCAACGUCCCUCCCUUUUUGAAGAAAUUGAUAAAUAUCACGGGGAUGAGCGAACAAUGGGUUGCAGCUCGCAUCAAGCAAAAGGAGGAUAGUAAGUGUAUUCCUUGGAGGAAUUUGAGAGACUUAAUCCUUGCACACCCAGAUUCAAAGAAAAGGGUUGACGUUUUUGCCUUAAGCCUCUAUGGUUUGAUCAUCUUUCCUAAGGCACUCGGACACAUAGAUGAAGCCGUCUCGGAUCUAUUCGAUCGGCUUGACAAAGGUACCACACCUGUCCCGGCAUUCCUAGUAGAUACUUUCAAAUCCUUGAAUGCAUGCCGAAGAGCGGGCGAGGGAAGAUUUAUUGGUUGUGCACAGCUUCUUUUGGCUUGGUUCCACAGUUAUUUUUGGAAGGUGGAGAAGGUCUCCUAUCGGGUAUUCUCUAAGGAUUAUUCCCCAUUAAGAGAAUUAGUGGCCACAUCGAGGCGAGACGACAUCUCAGAGGAGAAAUGGAUAACUAUUCUCCAAAAUUUGCGAGUCGAGGAUGUUGAAUGAAGGGCUCCAUAGUUGAUCCCUAGCGAGAUCUUAUAUAGGUGAGGUAAUUUUGACUGGGUCCCUCUAGCUGGAAUAUGGGGAGCUUCUGGGUAUACUUCGCUACUUGUGUUAAGGCAGUAUCGGUCGAGGCAGUUCAUACCGGCGACACAAGGGUUAGCUCAAUGUGAGUUCUCUUAUAAGGAUGACGGUUAUAAGAAAAAAGUUCGUGAGAUGUCAGAUGCAUGGAACCAAACUCGAAGAAUGAAAGGAUUUACCACAGGCUCGAUGAUGACCACCGAGUAUGAAUGGUGGUGGGGUAGGAGAGUCGACGACAACAUCCCUAGGCCGAAUCAAGGGAACACUCAACCGAUAGUGUAACGCCCCAAUUUUCGGGAAUUCUGUGAAUGUUGACAAAAUUUCAUGCUUUGAUUUUGUCAUUUGUGAGUGAAAUUAUGAAAUAGGACCUAUGUGAAAAUGUUUGAAAAUGCUAUAGGCUAAUUUGUAGUGGCCAACUAAAUAGUAGUGCAAAAUAGGAGGAUUUGCAUGUCAAACCUCCCAUUUUACAAGAAGUGGCCGGCCAUCAUGUUGUUGAAGACAAUAUGUGCACUUGAUAUCCAUAAUUUAUGGUACAAAUUGAUAAAAAAUUGAUAAUGGGUUAGGUAAAUGUUCCAUGAUGGGCAUGAUAAGCAUUAUGGGCAUUUUUUUAUUGACAUUAUGGCAUAAGUAUGACACAAAUAAUAUAGGUUAUUUUGUGUCAUAAAAUGUUGGGUAAUAAAAUAACAAAAGGAUGAAAAGAACAAAGUUUUUUCCAUCUUUGUUCAUCAUAGCCGAAAGUUAGAGAAGAGAAAGGAGAGGAGAAAGCUCUUGAGUAUUUGGUCACUAGGAGGAGGAAAAUUGAAGGUAAGUUUUUGGUACCUUGCUUCUAUUUUGAGGUUCAUGAGUUCUUCUUGAUUCUACCUUAACUCUUGAAGCAUAUUUUGGUUUUUAGUUGUGUUGUGAGCAUUUAGUCAUGAAUUAAAAUGAAGGAAAUGGUUGUUGUUUCAUGUUCUUUUGAUGAAAAAUGGAAGAUAGGUGAAGUUGAGCCAAACAAAUGAGCAUGCAUGUGCCUUAGAUGCUAAAGGGAAAAAUUGGCUAACAUGUUGUGCUUUACAAUGAUGAAAUGGAGAUUAUACUUAAGUAAAAUCAUAGAUAUGUGAUGAUUGAUUGGUGAUAUACAUGUUUAAAUAACAUGCAUGCAAGGUAUGUGUGAAAGAGUGAUUUGGUAAUAAAUCUGCUUGGGACAGCAGUAGUAACGUAACUUUGGAAAAUCACCAUAAAUUGUGGAAGAUGAAUUAGAAGCUGAAUAAAUUAUGUAAUUAAAUCUUAUUGAGUCUAGUUUCAAAUGAAAUAAACAAUAACAUAUUUUGAAUUCUGUACAAUGAGAAAUUUGAUUCAUAAUGAAGAGUGGUCAGAUUAGUCAAACAGUGAAACAUGGGAAACUUUGAGAAAAAUAUGGUAUUGAUUGGCUAAACCAAAAAUUCUAAAAAUUUUAUGGAUAGAAGAUAUAUGAGUCUAUUUUCAGGGAAAAUUAAUGGCACUUGAUUUGGAGUUUCGUAGCUCAAGUUAUAAAUGAUUUAGUGACUGUUGCUCAGGAAGACAGCUUGCAGUGAAAUUAUGAUUAUGUGGUAAACACUGACAAAAAUUUGUUAAUGAGUUGCUUAUUGAUUUCUUAUAAGCUUACUCUGAUCUGUAGGUGUGGUUGGCCGAAUAUUGUAAGGGGUUAAUACGUAGUUCGUAUUUGAAUAGUUAGAUUAACGUGUUAGUAAUCCAAUUGUAGGCGGUUAGUGUGUGGAUCUCGUCAGCAUAUCGUCGCAAACAGGUGUGUAACUAACACCCUCUUAUAGACUAGAUCGGCACAAGCUGAAAAGCCGAAAUGCCGAAAAGCCGGUAUUUUGAGAUCUUGCGAGUGUGUGAAUACUCAUGAGAUUAAUAGUUUGAUGUAUAUGGUAAAUUAAAGUGAUAAGACUGCAGAGUGCGCGAUUCUGUGCAUUUCGAUAUUUUUGGGCUUAAUGGGCCAAAACGGGAUAAUGAGCCAACAGGCCCAAAUUGGUAAGAAAACGCGGUAAGUGUUUCUGAUUGUACGUAAAUGGCUAUGUUAUGUAUGAAAACCUUAAGAAUAGUUAAAUUACUUGAAUACCCCUAUGUAUGCAAAAUUACCAUUAUACCCCUAGGGUUACUUUUGACUGAAAAGCAUGAUGAUCUGAUUCUGAAUGAUGUAUGCCAUGAUUGUAUAUCUGUUGCAUGGGGACAUGGGUUAUAUUAUGGAGGAAGCGUCCUGGUGGCUAUGCCACAAUACAACAAGAUAUGAAGGAAAAAAUGGAAGAAUCCCAAAAUAAUCUGAUAGGCCAGUUGGCGCAGUUGCUGGCUAGAGAACGCGAAAAGGGGAAGAGCGCUAUGGGGAACAAUAAUGAAGACCCUAUCUACCCUCUAGACUUUGCUUCGAUAAAUGCUUAACCACAACCGGAGGUACACCCGUGAAUGGUACCCAUCACUAUCAGGCCCCAGCAAUACCAGGCCAAUGCCUCGACACCAAUGAAUAUUCCCAUAGGUUCAAGCUCUAAGCCCGGAGAUAAUCCAGCUAAUCCAUUUGUCUCGGACCUUGACGAUGUGGCAGAAAUAGAGAAAGAAAAAGUAGACCUGGCAAAACAACUCGAUGAUCGGUGUAAAUGGCUUGAAGAAAAGUUCAAAGCAAUGGAGACUACUGACUACCGUGGUGGGAUCGACACUAAGGACUUAAGCUUGGUCCCAGAUCUGGUGCUCUCACCAAAAUUUAAUACCCCGGAGUUCGAAAAGUAUAACGGGACGAGGUGCCCUGAAGCUCAUAUUACGAUGUUCUGUCGAAGGAUGACAGGGUAUGUUAACAAUAAUCAGCUGUUGAUCUACUAUUUCCAGGACAGUCUGAUCGGAUCUGCGGCCAAGUGGUAUAACCAGCUCAGCCGUGCCCAAAUUGGUUCAUGGAAGGACUUGGCUCAAGCUUUCAUAAAACAAUACGGUCACAUGACGGACAUAACACCCGACAGAAUUACAUUACAGAACAUGGAAAAGAAGUCGAGUGAGAGCUUCAGACAGUAUGCCCAACGAUGGAGGGAGAUGUCAAUGCAGGUCCAACCAUCUCUCUUGGAGAAGGAAACAACCAUGUUUUUUAUCAAUACCCUGAAGGCCCCAUUCAUUAACCACAUGUUGAGAAGCGCUACUAAGAGCUUCUCUGACAUAGUUAUGUCUGGAGAGAUGAUAGAAAACGCGGUGAGAUGUGGGAAAAUUGAAGCGGGGGAAAGUGCCAAGAGAUCGGCUCCAAGAAGGAAAAAAACGAGGUGAACAAUGUGAGCGCAUAUCAUAAGGGUUAUUCCAAGCCAGACACAGUAAGCCAGCUGAGGGCAGUGACUACUAGCCAUCAAGGCUCCGCGAGUCAAGAUUCCAACCCAAGGCCUAACACGGAAAGAGUCCAGUUCAUGCCAAUCCCAAUGACGUAUAGAGAGCUUUACCAGAAUCUGUUCGACGCGCAUGUGGUGUCUCCAUUUUACCUGAAACCCAUGCAACCUCUAUUCUCAAAGUGGUAUGACGCAAACGCGCAAUGCGAAUACCAUGCAGGAAUUGCGAGGCACACAAUUGAGAACUACACGGCCUUCAAAAAAUUAGUCGAAAGGUUCAUAAAGAUGGGCAUUGUGAAGUUCGAUGAUCCCACAAAACCUAAUGUGACAUGAAAUCCAUUACCCAGUCAUUCAGAAAAUGGGGUAAACGCGAUAGUCGAAAGUGGAGGGAUGAGAACUAAGAUGGACGUAUCGGAGGUAAAGACCCCGUUGAGAUGGGUCUGGAAGAAAAUAGUGGAAUAAGGUUUAAUUACACAAGAUUUAGAGGAGAAGCCCGAAUGAGCAAAGUACUACUGUGAAUUCCAUGACGAGGAAGGGUAUGAGAUCCAAAAGUGUAAUGAAUUUAGGGCUCUGGUACAGAGAUUGAUAGAAAAUAAAGAGAUCGAAUUCUUCGAGUAUACCGAGGGCCAGAAAGGGGAAGAUGUAUGCACGUCAGAGCAAGGGCCAAUCAAUAAUGUCCAUGGGGUCAGUCACCCGGUCGUAAUUAUAUCCCGACCAAGAGUCAAUGAAGUCGGAGUACCAAUUACACCAAAGGUCAUAAUUCAAAAGCUCGUUGCUUUCCCCUAUAAAGAUAGCAAAAGGGUUUCUUGGAAUCACAACUACAACGUAACGAUCCCGGGAGAGGAGAAUCCAGUUGGCACUUCGGAGAAAGGUCAAGGCGAGGGUUUCUAUACAUGCAAUAGAAUGCGUUAUACUCCAAACACAAAGCCAGAACCAGCUAAAGGAAAAUCCGUGGUCGUUGAGCAAGAAAAGGAAAAGACAACCAGACCUGAAUCACCUGUCAAUGAGCCUAUAACUGAAAAGGAGGCUAAGGAAUUCUUAAAAUUCCUGAAGCUCAGCAAGUACAGCGUUGUGGAGCAAUUGCACAAACAGCCAGCUCGCAUAUCCAUACUAGUCUUGCUCUUGAGUUUAGAAACUCACCGAAGUGCAUUGAUGAAGGUUUUAAAUGAAACAUAUGUUGCGGAUGAUAUCUCCGUCAACAAGCUCGAUCGCCUGGUCAACAACAUCAGUGCGGAUAAUUUUAUUUUCUUUAAUGAUGAUGAAAUACCACCGGGAGGCAUGGGAUCUACAAAGGCCCUGCACAUUACCACUUGCUGCAAGGGAUACACAUUGCCGGGGGUAUUGAUUGAUAACGGAUCGGCAUUGAAUGUCAUGCACUUGUCCAUAUUAAAUAGGCUGCCAGUGGAUAACUCUCACAUGAAGACAUGUCAAAACGUCGUGAGAGCAUUCGAUGAUACGGAAAGAAUAGUGAUGGGAAGGAUCGAGAUACCUCUCUUGAUUGGCCCAAAUACAUACGAGGUGGACUUCUUGGUAAUGGACAUCAAACCAUCAUACAAUUGCCUGUUGGGGAGAUCGUGGAUUCACUCGGCGGGGGCAGUACCGUUAUCCCUACACCAAAAGUUAAAGUUGGUAACUGAGGGUAGGUUGGUAACGAUAAACGCGGAGGAAGACAUCAUUGCAUCCGUCACCAGUGACGCACCGUACGUGGGUACGAACGAUGAGACGAUAGAAUGUUCCUUUCGAUCACUAGAAUUCGUCAAUGCUACAUUCAUUAUCGAAGGGAACAAGAUCUCAAUGCCCAAAAUAUCCAAAACUACAAGGAUGGGCCUGCGAUUGACGGUCGGCAAAGGAGCCCUACCAGGAAGAGGACUUGGAAGAUACCUCCAAGGAAGGAUCGAGGUACCAGUGUUAAGGGAAAAACGAGACUGUUUUGGCCUAGGAUUUAAGCCAGACGCGAAGCAAAAGAAGAAAGAGCUAGAGAAAAGGUAAGAGAUGAGAAGAGCGCGUCUGCGUGGUGAGGAGGUCAAGUGGGAACCAAUGACCUUUCCUCAUCUAUCCCGAACGUUCGUGUCCGGAGGAACUAUCCAUCCGAAACAAGAGAUGACAGUGAGGAAAGUGGCAGAAGAAAUGUUAGAAAGUUUGAGCAUUAACACCAUAUGCGAAGAUAUAAUCGAAGAAAGGAAUUUAUCUGGAAUUCGCCCUUAUAUCUCGGGAAGUGUUUUGAACAAUUAGACCGCGGAAGAGAUCCCUGUAACUUUUAGAAUUAACUCAGAGUAAUGUUCAAAACAAGCUUAUUGCUCUAAGCCUAGGGGCAAUAAGAAUCCUUUUAUGAAAUAGGCAUAUGCCCAAACAUCGUUAUUUCAAUAAAAAAUGCAUUCUUGCAUAUCAUCUUGAGCAAAUAUUCUUUUAUUCUUUAUACUUCAUUCAUAAUCAUACCACACAAAUCAAAUAUUCUUAGAUUCUUUUGUUCUUUGGAUUUCUUUCUUCACCCAUAACAGGUUUCCAGAUAUCAAUGAUAUGAGCAACGUUGCCAAUGACUCAAAGAUUCCUUUCGAGCAAGAUUUGUGUAUGAAGGACACUGAGGAUUUUGAAAAUGACCAAAAUUCUAACCUAUCUCCUAAUUUGUUAAGGAUGGUAGAACAAGAGGAGAAACAAACCCUACCUCACAAAGAGUCGGUGGAAAUUGUUAGCUUAGGAGAAGGAAAAAAGGUGAAAAUUGGAGCUAGUAUCGCUGCAGAAACAAAGCAAGACCUCAUCGAGUUACUCCGGGAAUUCAAGGAUGUCUUCACAUGGUCAUAUCAAGAUAUGCCCGGAUUGAAUACUGAUAUCGUGGUACAUCGACUCCCCAUAAAGGAAGGGUGCAAGCCAGUACAACAGAAACUCCGAAGGAUAAGACCCGAUGUUUUGUUAAAGAUAAAGGAAGAGGUCAAGAAGCAAUUCGACGCCGAUUUCUUACAAGUGGUCAAGUACUCAGAAUGGGUAGCCAACAUAGUCCCAGUUCCAAAGAAAGAUGAGAAGGUACGGAUAUGCGUGGACUAUCGAGAUUUGAAUAAAGCCAGUCCCAAAGACAAUUUCCCAUUGCCUCACAUUGAUACACUAGUGGAUAACACGGCAGGUUACUCACUCUUCUCAUUCAUGGACGGCUUCUCGGGAUACAACCAAAUAAAAAUGCAUCCUGAAGACAUGGAAAAGACGACAUUUGUAACCAUGUGGGGAACGUUUUGUUAUAAAGUGAUGCCAUUCGGAUUGAAAAACGCAGGAGCAACAUAUCAGAAAGCCAUGGUGACUUUGUUCCAUGACAUGAUGCACAAGGAGAUCGAAGUUUAUGUGGACGACAUGAUUGCAAAAUCUAAAAUAGAGAAGGAGCAUGUGCAAGUCUUGAGAAAACUAUUCUUAAGGUUAAGGAAGUUGUUAGGGCCAGGUCAGGAAAGUUGUUGGGAUUCGUGGUCAGUGAAAAAGGGAUCGAGAUUGACCCAGAUAAAGUCAAGGCUAUACAAGAAUUACCUUUGCCACGCACUUAAAAAGAAGUUCGAGGUUUCCUAGGAAGAUUGAAUUAUAUUGCCCGGUUUAUUUCGCAAUUAACGAAAAAAUGCGACCCCAUAUUCUGUCUGCUUAGGAAGUACAAUCCAGGUGUAUGGGAUGAGGAGUGCUAGAAAACUUUUGAUAAGGUCAAGCAUUAUUUGUCCAAUGCCCAGUACUAAUGCCACCUUGCCCGGAUAAACCACUGAUACUGUACUUGGCAGUGUUUGAAAACUCUAUGGGAUGCGUGCUAGGCCAACAUGAUGAGUCUGGAAGAAAAGAAAAAGCGAUAUACUAUCUCAGCAAGAAAUUCAUCGAAUGUGAGACAAGGUAUUCGUCGAUCGGGAAGUUGUGUUGUGCUUUGAUUUGGACAACCUGAAGACUGAGACAAUACAUGUUGUACCACACAACUUGGCUCAUCUGAAAACUAGACCCUUUGAAGUACAUGAUGGAGUCAAAUGCUUUGAACGGAAGGAUGGCUCGUUGGCAAAUUUUGCUUUCUGAGUUAGACAUAGUUUACGUAAACCAAAAGGCUGUAAAAAGGAGUGCAAUAGUAGAUUUUCUAGCCAGUAGAGCUCUAGAAGAUUAUGAACUGUUAAGCUUUAACUUCCCAAAUGAGGAUCUAAUGUACGUGGCAACCAUAGAAGAAGACUCUCAAGAAGGCCACCCCUGGAAGUUGAAUUUUGAUGGAGCUUCCAAUGCUGUGGGUAACGGAAUUGGGGCAAUUUUGGUAUCCCCAAAUGAAGAUCAUUAUCCUUUCACCAGUAAAUUAGAUUUUGAUUACACAAACAAUAUGGCCGAAUACGAAGCAUGUAUCAUGGGAAUUCGUGCAGCCGUAGAACGUAAGAUUAAAGUGCUAGAGGUAUAUGAGGAUUUUGCAUUAGCGAUCUAUCAGCUUAAAGGUGAAUGGGAGACAAGAGACCUUAAGUUGUUCAAUUACGGAAGGCUGGUUCUUGAGUUAAUCGAGGAGUUUAAUGAUAUCACUUUCUGCUACCUCCCACGAGACGAAAACCAGAUGGCUGAUGCUUUGGCAACCUUAGUUUCUAUGAUCAAAGUGAAUAAACAAAAGGAUAUGAAGCCUUUCCAAAUGAGUAUUUAUGAGGCUCCGGCUCAUUGCUGCAAUAUUGAAGAAGAAGAAGAGAAAAAUGAUCAUCCUUGGUACCAGGAUAAUUUACGAUAUGUGAGGAGUCGUGAAUACCCAAACCAAGCGACUGAGAAUGAUAAAAGGAUAUUAAGAAGACUGGCUAGUGACUAUGUCUUAGAUGGAGAUACAAAAGAAGGAAGGAUCAGGUACUCCUGAGAUGUGUAGACGCUGUCGAGGCUAAGCAAAUCCUGGAAGAGGUUCAUGAGGGUGUUUGCGGAACACAUGCUAAUGGUUUCACCAUGGCCAGACAGAUUAUGCGAUUCGAAUAUUAUUGGUCCACUAUGGAAGGAGAUUGCAUCAACUAUGCCAAGAAAUGCCAUAAAUGCCAUAAAUGCCAAAUUUAUAGGGAUAAAAUUCAUGUACCUCCUUCACCCCUUCAUGUCAUGACUUCUCCAUGGCCUUUCUCAAUGUGGGGCAUGGAUGUCAUUGGGCCAAUCUCACCGAAGGCGUCUAAUGGACAUCGAUUCAUCUUUUUCGUUAUAGAUUAUUUCACCAAAUGGGUAGAGGCCACCUCUUAUGCUAACGUCACAAAAUCAGCAGUCAAUAGGUUAUUAAAGAAAGAAAUCAUAUGUCGAUAUGGGAUGCCUGAAAGGAUCGUAUCAGACAAUGCACUGAACUUGAAUAACAGCAUGAUAACAGAAGUCUGUAGCCAAUUCAAGAUCAAACAUCAUAACUCAUCACCGUAUCUUCCAAAUAUGAAUGGUGUAGUCGAAGCAGCCAAUAAGAACAUCAAGAAGAUCAUAGGAAAAAUGACUGAGACCUAUAAAGAUUGGCAUGAGAAAUUACCAUUUGCCCUUUAUGCCUACCAGACGUCAGUCAGAACUUCUACCGAGGCAACACCUUUUUCUUUAGUUUAUAAAAUGGAGGCAGUUCUACCCAUUGAGGUCGAGAUUCCCUCUCUACGCGUGCUGUCAGAACUAAAAUUAGAUGAAGUAAAUUGGAUCCAGUCUCGAUACGACCAGUUGAACUUGAUUGAAGAAAAUAGGCUAAAGGCUAUCCGUCAUGGUCAAAUGUAUCAAAAGAGAAUGAUGCGGGCUUAUAAUAAGAAGGUUCGCCCUAGAGAAUUCCAUGAAAGAGACCUCGUAUUGAAAAGAUCCUCCCCAUACAAAAGGACUUCAUAGGGAAAUGAAUACCGAAUUGGGAGGGACCUUAUGUGGUAAAGAAGGCUUUCUCUGGAGGAGCUCUAAUUUUGACCGAGAUGAAUGGUAAAAGUCUGCCUAAUCCCGUGAAUUCAGAUUCAGUUAAAAGGUAUUGUAUCUAAAAAAAAACGGAGAGGCCAAUGUGAAAACCCAUAAAAAGACGCUUUGAGACUAAAGGGGUUUUGAAUUGAAAACUCAAGAAUGGGAAAUUCAAAUCGAAGUGAGGCAUCCAGUAGUAUUGUCUUUUCUGAAUUAACAAGAAGGAAUGAUGCUACAUUUUAGGGGCAUCAACAAAGUACUCUUGGUCUUCCAAAUACAUACCGAGUUCAAAAGGGUCUUCUAGAGGAUUUGUGCAACAAAGAUCAUACUGCGAUAUCUGGGGCACUUAUCCUUAUCUCAUUCAUUUUGUAUUCUGUGACAAAAUGCACUAUCUUCAUUAAUUUAUUAGUUCUCAUUUUGUAUCUUAGCAAAUUUGCUAUCUCGAUUACCCUAUUCAUUUCAAGCUUUGCUUUCAAUAAAAUUCCAUUUUGUCUAAAGCAAUAAUCUUUUUAAGCAUUUUUCGUUGAAAUGAUGAUUAAUAGACUAAUAAUAUUCACAAAAGAGUUCUGCAUAUUACUCUGAAAUGCUUCUAAACAAUACAAGGACCUGAAACGGGACUAAUUAGUUUGAAUUACCCAAAUUCAAGGGUUGGAAGCGUUGGGGAAAGAAUAGCCCAAAUUGUGACUAUUCUUCAGGUUUCCUGUCAGUGAUACCAGUCGAAGAAAGGGCAGAGUAAGACGUCAUUGAUAAAAUCUCGGUGAACAAUGAGUAACAUCAAAUCAAGCAUUAAAAACGAUGACAUUUUGCAUUCAUGCAAACAUCAUUCAUGCACAUCUAGCUAGGAGCAUUUGAUCCAUUUUAAUCAUGACAUCCUAAUUAUUUGGAAUAGAUCAUGUUCUCUAAAGAAUGGUGUAACAGACUAAAGAAAUAAAAAUCCUACACCCCUGAAGAUGCAGUGGGACGGAUUGAAAUCACAACGGUGAAUCUUGCCUUCCUGAAGUUGCAGUGAAGCAGAUUUAAGCCACCAAGCCUUAACCUCCUAAGCAGUAGGGUAAUAGGCUGGAAAUUACAGAUCUUGCCUUCCUGAAGUUGCAGUGAAGCAGAUUCAAGCCACCAAGCCUUAACCCCCUAAGCAGUAAGGUAAUAGGCUGAAAAUUACAGAUCUUGUAUCUCUGAAGUUGCAGUGGAACAGAUCGAAUACAGCGAAUCUUAUCUCCCUGAAGUUGCAGUGGAACAGACUGAAGCUGUGGACAAACAGAUCUUAUCUCUCUGAAGUUGCAGUAGAGCAGAUCAAAACAAACCUAAUCUCUCUGAAGUUGUAGUAGAACAGAUUAAGGCUAUAAAUCAUAUCCUCCUGAAGUUGCAAUGGGGCAGAUCGAAGUUAUCAUGACAAGUCUUAUCUCCCUAAAGUUGCAGUGGAGCAGACCGAAGAUAGCUAAUCUUAUCCUAUACCUCUGAAGUUGCAGUAGGUCAGAUUGAAUCUUUUAUAGCAAGUCUUGUCUCCCCGAAGUUGCAGCGGAGCAAACUAAAAUCACAAAUCCUAUAUCACCUUGAAGUCCCAAAGAAGCAAAUUGAAACCACAAGUCCCAUCUCUCCGAAAUGGCGAUGGAGUGGUCAAAGCAAUAAAAUCCAGUGGACUAGAAUGAGGCUACUUGAAGAAGAUGAGUACGAAAAGUUGGGAUCCUACAAGACUAGGCAAAAUUGGCCCUUUUGAAGCCUUUGCUCUAUUCUCAUUACACGACAAUGAGCAAAAAGGGGCAGCUGUACGGGCCUAAAUUUUCUCGAUGCCCAUGACUCAAAACCAAAAACAAAAAUAAAAAAAAACCUAAUUUUCAAACCAAAAUAAACAGCCCAAUAAAAAACCCCAAACUCAAAUUUUAGCCCAAACGUUAAAACCACAAUCAGCCCAAUAACAAAUACAGCCCAAACUAUCAAUCUAAUGCAAAAAAAUAUCAGCAGAACCCUAGGAACGUUCAGCCACCGCCCCGCGCCUCUUCAUCUGCUCACACGCUGCUCCAUCAGUCGCCCUCCACGCAUCGACUGACAUCUGAAACAAGCACAAUAGCAGAGAAAGAAGCAUGCGAGCGCAGAGAAAUAAAGAUGUUUUUACUUUUGUCUUUAUCUUGUUUUUACUUUUGUUUCUCUUAAUUAUUUUAUUUUAUUUUAUUUCACUUACGAAAAUAAAAGGGAAAUAAAACUUACCGGAAAACCCCCAUGGUCGGUCGUCGGAGACUUCUUUCUCCAUCGGAGUUGAGCCCAAAAGGGGAGGUUGGGAAGUCCUUUUAUUUUCAGGCACUCGAUCGAGGGAUUUGGGACCUCCAAAGGCACCACGAACAGAGGCUAGGUAGCCUAUUUUGCUUGUCGUCGGCCACUGAUUGUAAUGGUGGUGUGACAAACCACCGAGGGCGGCGAUGAGGGGUUCAGGACCCUAGCCGAACGGAAGAGAAAAGGGGGUAGGGAGGCUGAGUUCUUUUAAAA